rnacentral:rRNA from 1 species
AGAACGAACGCUGGCGGCAGGCCUAACACAUGCAAGUCGAACGGGCGUAGCAAUACGUCAGUGGCGGACGGGUGAGUAACACGUGGGAAUAUGCCUUUCGGUUCGGAACAACUCGGGGAAACCCGUGCUAAUUCCGGAUACGCCCUUACGGGGAAAGAUUUAUCGCCGAAAGAUUAGCCCGCGUUGGAUUAGCUAGUUGGUGAGGUAAAGGCUCACCAAGGCAACGAUCCAUAGCUGGUUUGAGAGAACGACCAGCCACACUGGGACUGAGACACGGCCCAGACUCCUACGGGAGGCAGCAGUGGGGAAUCUUGGACAAUGGAGGAAACUCUGAUCCAGCCAUGCCGCGUGAGUGAUGAAGGCCUUCGGGUUGUAAAACUCUUUCGACGGGGACGAUAAUGACGGUACCCGUAGAAGAAGCUCCGGCUAACUUCGCGCCAGCAGCCGC